rnacentral:rRNA from 1 species
UACGAACCGUGCGAACGUUAUUCGGAAUCAUUGGUCUUAAAGCGCGUGUAGGCGGAUUCGUGCAUCUGUCGCUGAAAUCCCCCGGCUCAACCGGGGAACGGGCGCGGAUACGACGAGUCUGGAGGGGCAGAGGGGGACCUGGAACUUCCGGUGGAGCGGUGAAAUGCGUUAAGAUCGGAAGGAACGCCCGUGGCGAAAGCGAGGUCCUGGAUGCCUACUGACGCUGAGACGCGAAAGCCAGGGGAGCGAACGGG